GUGCUCGCUUCAGCAGCACAUAUACUGAAAUUAGAACGAUAACAGAAACAUUAGCACCACCCCUGUGCAAGGACAACAUGCAAAUAUGUGAAGCAUUCCAUUUUUUU
ensembl:snRNA U6 U6 spliceosomal RNA